rnacentral:rRNA from 1 species
GAUGAACGCUGGCGGCGUGCUUAACACAUGCAAGUCGAACGAGAAGUGAAGACGGAAACCUUCGGGCGGAAGGCUUUAUUUCGAGUGGCGGACGGGUGAGUAACGCGUGGGUAACCUGCCUCAUACAGGGGGAUAACAGUUGGAAACGACUGUUAAUACCGCAUAAGGCCACAGCACCGCAUGGUGCGGGGGUAAAAACUCCGGUGGUAUGAGAUGGACCCGCGUUCGAUUAGCCAGUUGGCGGGGUAACGGCCCACCAAAGCGACGAUCGAUAGCCGAUCUGAGAGGAUGACCGGCGACAUUGGGACUGAGACACGGCCCAAACUCCUACGGGAGGCAGCAGAGGGGAAUAUUGCACAAUGGGGGAAACCCUGAUGCAGCGACGCCGCGUGAGUGAAGAAGUAUUUCGGUAUGUAAAGCUCUAUCAGCAGGGAAGAAAAUGACGGUACCUGAGGAAGAAGCCCCGGCUAACUACGUG